rnacentral:pre_miRNA from 1 species
AGGAGGAACAACCCCAGUGGCGGGGCAGCUCUGGAAACCUGGAUUCAGCUCCGGAGCUCUCCGUCUGCAGGGCCUGGAGGCUCCGGGGCGGG